AUGGAGCGGGAGCGGCGGCGCGCGGCGGGGUGGGAGGACCGCAUCUCGGAGCUCCCGGACGCGCUGCGCCUGCAGAUUCUCAGCCUGCUGCCGCUCAAGUGCGCCAUCCGCACCGGCGCGCUCUCCUCGCGGUGGCGGGACCUCUGGGAGCAGCGCUGGCCGGUGCCCUCCUCGCUGCGCCUCCGCGUCCCGCCGGGCCCCUCGGGCGCGGCGGGGGCCCAGGCGCAGCUCGCGGCCGUCGACCGGCGCGGGCGGCGCCGGGUCGACGUCUUCUCCCUCGCCUUCCACGCGGGCCAGCUCACGCAGGCCGACCUCAAGCGCUGCGUCGACUACGCCGCGGCCUGCGGCGUCGAGGACCUGCAGCUCCGCCUCGAUGGCGGCGGCGCCCGCGGCGCGCGCGGGGGCCAGCGCCGCGCCGGCGCGCUCGCCGUGCACUUCCCCGUCGGGAGCCCGCUCCUGGCGCGCCUCUCGGUGCGCGGGCUCCACCUCACGGCCUCCGCCAACGCCAUGGUCGCCACGCUCGAGGUCAUCCACCUCCACUCCGUCUCCAUCACCGACGCCGCGCUGCGCCGGGUCGUCGCCGCCUGCCCCUGCCUCCGCGACCUCGAGCUCCGCUACUGCCGCCACCUACGCCGCAUCGACUUCACCACCGUCGGGGCCGCCAACCUCAGGAGCCUCACCGUCGUGGACUGCUCCCGCACCACCGAGCUGCGGGUCCCGGCGGCGCCCCGCCUCCGCUCGUUCCGGUUCAGCGGCCCCUUCCUCUGCAGCAACCUUUUCUCUGGCGUCGGUGACUCUUUCCAGGAUCUCUACCUCUGCUCGGGCGGGCCAGAGGCCGGCUUGCCGCCCACCAAUUUGCCCUCGGCGGUUCCUCACCUUGCCAACAUCACCACCCUCACCAUAUGCAGCAUUGCCCUCCAGUACGUGUCUGCGUCACUGGCCACCAUCCUCAAGGAGACCAAUCUCCGCAGGUUGAAGGAGCUUCAAUUGCUCAUGUUCGGGAUGGCCAACUCCAAUCUCGCAGACAUUUUUAGCUUCCUCAAGACCUGUUCCUGUCCUCAGUUGGAGAGGCUCUUCGUGCAGCUACCAACAAACACCCAUGAUUCAUUCACGAGGAAUUACUUGGACGUGGCAGAGGAAGAACAGCCUGAAGACGGAUUAGAAAACCUUCGGUUGGCCAAGAUGACAAACUUCAAGGGGCAUCACAAUGAGAUGCGUCUGCUGGACUUUCUGCUGACAAAGGCCAGUUGCCUUAAGAAAUUGUUCCUGGUUGCUCCUAAAGAGGAUCACCCACAAGGGCUAAGAAAGAUUCAGCCAGAUGUGCUGCCCCUUUCUCGAAAGGCAGAAAUUCUUGAAAGAGCUUCAGCAGGCACCCAGAUAGUUUUCAGUGGGCCUGAUAGUUCUCACGCUCAGCCAUUGCACUCGGAAGUCUUCAUCAGAUUUUAG
rnacentral:rRNA from 1 species